rnacentral:rRNA from 1 species
UGAGUAACACGUAGGUAAUCUACCCCAGAAUCUAGGAAUAACCUGCCGAAAGGCGGGCUAAUACUGGAUAGAGCGAUGGAACUCGUAAUUGGGUUUUCGGGAAAGGGAGCUCGCAAGAGCCUUCGUUUUGGGAUGAGCCUGCGUCUGAUUAGCUAGUUGGCGGGGUAAUGGCCCACCAAGGCGAUGAUCAGUAGCUGGUCUGAGAGGAUGAUCAGCCACACUGGAACUGAAACACGGUCCAGACUCCUACGGGAGGCAGCAGUGGGGAAUCUUGCGCAAUGGACGAAAGUCUGACGCAGCCACGCCGCGUGAGUGAAGAAGGCCUUCGGGUUGUAAAGCUCUGUCGGCCGGGACGAAAAUACUUAAGGUGAAUAGCCUUAGGGACUGACGGUACCGGCAAAGGAAGCACCGGCUAACUCUGUG